GCUCCAGACUCCUACGGGAGGCAGCAGUGGGGAAUAUUGCACAAUGGGCGCAAGCCUGAUGCAGCCAUGCCGCGUGUAUGAAGAAGGCCUUCGGGUUGUAAAGUCCUUUCAGCGGGGAGGAAGGUGUUGUGGUUAAUAACCUUGUCGAUUGACGUUACCCGCAGAAGAAGCACCGGCUAACUCCGUGCCAGCAGCCGCGGUAAUACGGAGGGUGCAAGCGUUAAUCGGAAUUACUGGGCGUAAAGCGCACGCAGGCGGUCUGUCAAGUCGGAUGUGAAAUCCCCGGGCUCAACCUGGGAACUGCAUUCGAAACUGGCAGGCUGGAGUCUUGUAGAGGGGGGUAGAAUUCCAGGUGUAGCGGUGAAAUGCGUAGAGAUCAAGAGGAAUACCGGUGACGA
rnacentral:rRNA from 1 species